rnacentral:rRNA from 1 species
AUUGAACGCUGGCGGCAGGCCUAACACAUGCAAGUCGAGCGGAUGAAGGGAGCUUGCUCCUGGAUUCAGCGGCGGACGGGUGAGUAAUGCCUAUGAAUCUGCCUUGUAGUGGGGGAUAACGUCCGGAAACGGGCGCUAAUACCGCAUACGUCCUGAGGGAGAAAGUGGGGGAGCUUCGGACCUCACGCUAUCAGAUGAGCCUAGGUCGGAUUAGCUAGUUGGUGGGGUAAAGGCCUACCAAGGCGACGAUCCGUAACUGGUCUGAGAGGAUGAUCAGUCACCCUGGCACUGAGACACGGCCGAGACUCCUACGGGAGGAAGCAGCGGGGAAUAUUGGAGAAUGGGCGAAAGCCUAAUACAGCCAUGCCGGGUGUGUGAAGAAGGUCUUCGGAUUGUAAAGCACUUUAAGUUGGGAGGAAGGGCAGUAAGUUAACACCUUGCUGUUUUGACGUUACCAACAGAAUAAGCACCGGCUAACUUCGUG